rnacentral:siRNA from 1 species
UGCGUGCCUGUUGUAUGGCC